GAUGAACGCUGGCGGCGUGCCUAAUACAUGCAAGUCGAGCGAACGGACGAGAAGCUUGCUUCUCUGAUGUUAGCGGCGGACGGGUGAGUAACACGUGGAUAACCUACCUAUAAGACUGGGAUAACUUCGGGAACCCGGAGCUAAUACCGGAUAAUAUUUUGAACCGCAUGGUUCAAAAGUGAAAGACGGUCUUGCUGUCACUUAUAGAUGGAUCCGCGCUGCAUUAGCUAGUUGGUAAGGUAACGGCUUACCAAGGCAACGAUGCAUAGCCGACCUGAGAGGGUGAUCGGCCACACUGGAACUGAGACACGGUCCAGACUCCUACGGGAGGCAGCAGUAGGGAAUCUUCCGCAAAGGGCGAAAGCCUGACGGAGCAACGCCGCGUGAGUGAUGAAGGCCUUCGGAUCGUAAAACUCUGUUAUUAGGGAAGAACAUAUGUGUAAGUAACUGUGCACAUCUUGACGGUACCUAAUCAGAAAGCCACGGCUAACUACGUG
rnacentral:rRNA from 1 species